rnacentral:sRNA from 1 species
AGAUAAAUGAACUGAAAGAGAAAAUGAAAUCAGAAUCCAGUAAAGCUAACACAGGUGACAUGAAAAGUUCUCGUGAUUAUCUGGGGCUUCUGCAGGUUUGGAAAGACUAUAGAGACGCCAUUGGUACGAAAUUGAAACCUCUCUAUCCUGAAUUCGUUGAAUUAGGAAAUGAAGCGAUCCGAAUUUUGGGCUAUGACGACAUGGGUGCCUAUAUGCGAUCGCACUAUGUGUCAGACAAACCUGUAGAUGAA